UUCAACUUGUGGAAGUAGAACCUUCAUCUGUUUCAAGCAUUAAGGGCCAGAAAGCUGCUGAAUCUGCAUCUGCUCUCCAAUUUGGUAGGUUUUCGAUUUACUUGUUUUACCAAACCAUGCCAUGCUUAGUGUAGGUCUUGAUAUGCUGAUUGCUAUGGACUUUGUCUCAUGUAAUUUGGUUGAGUAGUUUGCAAGAAAUCUGAAAUUAAA
rnacentral:lncRNA from 1 species